ensembl:lncRNA
GCUUGUCGUGGGUCUGCACAGUGAGGACCACCGGCACCUGGAUGGCCGGUUCGCCCUCUUUUCCUCUCUCUGCUGCCCGAAUGCGCGCACGUCUGUGCCGGUAAUUCCGCCUCUCCUGCUGCCACCCAGUCCCAACACACACAAACACACGCACGCACACGCAAACACAGUCCCGUCUAUUCAGCUCCCAGCAAAACUACCAAUAGAGCUUCCUUCUGCUCGUAUGUGCACGGGAAAGGAGUCGCGCGGUAGAGGAGCGCAGGAGUUGGGAUAAGCAGCCGAACCUGAUCACCUUUUUUCUUUUCUUUUUAACGCCUGUCAAGGGGCUUCUCGUUGUGAUUUAAAACUCAUCUGCUAGCUGACGGAGAGGAGGAAGAGGAAGAUAAAGGGAUUCUGGUGAAAAAGACGCAAACUGAGAGGAGAGAAGGUGGAGAGAUCGAUGAAGUUAUCAGGAAUAUCUGAGCUGGCAACCGGAUGACUCAAAGCUCUCCUGCAGGAGGGUGCCCUUGUUGGCUUGUCAUUCUGUUGUAACCCUGAGGCCAGUUAUGUGACC